GGGUGACAGGAGUAAACAUCAAGGAUGAAUAAACAACAUGAAUCAGCAAAAGGACUUGUUUUGGACUUGUUUUGGACUUUGCAGUGACUAAGUGACUUUUUAGUUGUAAACAUGUUUUGGUUAUAGGAUGACUAGAUAGUAUGCCCAUGUUAGAUAAGUUGAUGAUGUAACUAGGUAGUGUGCUUAUGUUAGAUAAGUUAGACAUAAACAAGUUUGUUGUAAACAUAUAGAGUAUAUAAGCGCGAGGGAAACUCCAUGUAUUUGCUCACAAUCAACUCUCAUCGCCUGAGAGUAAGAUCGUGCAGUGUGAGCCAGCCACCUCGUGUAUUGCUUUGUGUGGUGUGCGAAUAAACCAGCAUUUCAAAAGGCAAUCGAGUUCGUGCUUGGUGUUCGCGUACGUCGCGGUCCGGGGUCCAGUGCAGAUAUCCGGAAGGGAACUCCUGGCCAUGGCGUCCCCCAGGAUCCAGGCUGUCAUCCGGGAGAGGCACAGGAUGAGGGAGUGUCCCGUGUGGGAAGAGGUGACCGCGCAGCUGGUGUAUGUGGACAUCAAUGCCAGGACUGUGUGCUGGUGGAAUCCACUGUCUGGGGAGGUGCAGACCGUGGGCCUGAGAGACCCUGUUGGCUGUGUGUCUCUGCGCAGAGAGGGCAGCUACGUGGUGGCCUCUGGCACCUGCCUUGGCCUCCUGGACUGGGCGACGGGGCAGGUGGAGUGGGCAGCCUGGCUGGACAGGGACAAGCCCCACAACAGGUUCAACGACGGGAAGGUGGACCCCGCCGGGAGGUUUGUGGCAGGCACCAUGCCAGAAGCGUCCGCCCCAGGACUGUGGGAGCCGGGGCAGGGCUCCCUGUACACACUCUACACUGACCGCUCCGUGGUCAGACAGCUGGACCAGCUGGGCAUCCCAACGGGCUGGACUGGUCCCUGGACCACCGCACUCUCUACCACGUGGACUGCCUGGACUACUCUGUGCGGGCCUAUGACUACGACCUGCAGACAGGAGGCCUGGGUAGUGGCUGCGGUUGCUAGCCCCCCACGCCCUCCCCAGGCAAAGGCAUCCGUGGCCAGGCCCCCACACCCUCCCUGGGCGGGGCCACCGUGACCAGCCCCCCACACCCUCCCUGGUAUAGGAGCCUCCUUGGUCAGCCCCCACGCCCUCCCUGGGCGGGGCCUCCAGUGGCCAGCCCCCCACGCCCUCCCAGGAUAGGGGCCUCUGUGGCCAGCCCUCCACACCCACCCUGGGCGGGAUCCUCCGUGUUCCUCCCCCGACACCCUCACGAGUCCCCUCCUGGGGUCCCAGAAGCACCACUGGGUCUGUCACUCCCUCCCGUUGUUAAGGCCACGCUAUGUGACCUCCUGGUCUGGGCAGUGAGGGGCCACGCGCCUCUGUCUGUCCUGCCGCAGCAGACCCACAGUUGGUGUGCCAGAUGGAGCCAAAGCAAGGCAUGCCAGAUGGGCUGUGCGUGGACACCACGGGGACACUCUGGGUGGCCUGCAUUGACGGAGGCAGGGUGAUCCGCAUGGACCCCGAGACAGGGACACGGCUGUGCACCCUGGAGAUGCCAGUGUCCAGGAUGACGUCCUGCAGCUUCCGGGGGGCUGACUACUCCAACCUGUACGUGACCUCUGCAGUGGACAGCCUGAGUCCAGAGCAGCUGUUGCGGGAGCCACAGGCAGGACACGUCUUCAAGGUCAUGGGCCUCUGGCGUCCCGCCCCUUCGCUGGCUGAGGGACCCCACAGUCCAGCGCAGCUCAAGCCAGGCCUUGGUCCCUGGGGUCGGGCCAGGCUCCGCUCUGGCAGGGCGCUCCCUGCCUGACCACUGUUCACAGCUGACAAUAAAUGUGGCCACUGAGGUUGGCCUCUCUGCCUCCA